AAGGUUAUAUGAUCAAGUAAAGGAAGAGCACAAGGUGAUGCCUUGGCUGCAUAAGGCGAUGAAGGACGUAAUAACCUGCGAUAAGCCUCGGGGAGCUGGUAAAUAAGCUUCGAUCCGAGGAUU
rnacentral:rRNA from 1 species